UACAGAGGGUGCGAGCGUUAAUCGGAAUUACUGGGCGUAAAGCGUGCGUAGACGGUCAAGUAAGUCGGGUGUGAAAGCCCCGGGCUCAACCUGGGAAUUGCAUUCGAGACUGCGUGGCUAGGGUGCGGAAGAGGGAAGCGGAAUUUCCGGUGUAGCGGUGAAAUGCGUAGAUAUCGGAAGGAACACCAGUGGCGAAAGCGACUCUUUGGCCUGUAACUGACGCUGAGGCGCGAAAGCGUGGGGAGCAAACAGG
rnacentral:rRNA from 1 species